rnacentral:misc_RNA from 1 species
GAAAUGCGAUAAGUAAUGUGAAUUGCAGAAUUCAGUGAAUCAUCGAAUCUUUGAACGCACAUUGCGCCCGCCAGUAUUCUGGCGGGCAUGCCUAUUCGAGCGUCAUUACAACCCUCAGGCCCCCGGGCCUGGCGUUGGGGAUCGGCGGAAGCCCCCUGCGGGCACAACGCCGUCCCCCAAAUACAGUGGCGGUCCCGCCGCAGCUUCCAUUGCGUAGUAGCUAACACCUCGCAACUGGAGAGCGGCGCGGCCACGCCGUAAAACACCCAACUUCUGAAUGUUGACCUCGAAUCAGGUAGGAAUACCCGCUGAACUUAAGA